GAUGAACGCUGGCGGCGUGCCUAAUACAUGCAAGUCGAGCGAACGGACGAGAAGCUUGCUUCUCUGAUGUUAGCGGCGGACGGGUGAGUAACACGUGGAUAACCUACCUAUAAGACUGGGAUAACUUCGGGAAACCGGAGCUAAUACCGGAUAAUAUUUUGAACCGCAUGGUUCAAAAGUGAAAGACGGUCUUGCUGUCACUUAUAGAUGGAUCCGCGCUGCAUUAGCUAGUUGGUAAGGUAACGGCUUACCAAGGCAACGAUGCAUAGCCGACCUGAGAGGGUGAUCGGCCACACUGGAGCUGAGACACGGUCCAGACUCCUACGGGAGGCAGCAGUAGGGAAUCUUCCGCAAUGGGCGAAAGCCUGACGGAGCAACGCCGCGUGAGUGAUGAAGGUCUUCGGAUCGUAAAACUCUGUUAUUAGGGAAGAACAUAUGUGUAAGUAACUGUGCACAUCUUGACGGUACCUAAUCAGAAAGCCACGGCUAACUACGUGCCAGCAGCCGCGGUAAUACGUAGGUGGCAAGCGUUAUCCGGAAUUAUUGGGCGUAAAGCGCGCGUAGGCGGUUUUUUAAGUCUGAUGUGAAAGCCCACGGCUCAACCGUGGAGGGUCAUUGGAAACUGGAAAACUUGAGUGCAGAAGAGGAAAGUGGAAUUCCAUGUGUAGCGGUGAAAUGCGCAGAGAUAUGGAGGAACACCAGUGGCGAAGGCGACUUUCUGGUCUGUAACUGACGCUGAUGUGCGAAAGCGUGGGGAUCAAACAGGAUUAGAUACCCUGGUAGUCCACGCCGUAAACGAUGAGUGCUAAGUGUUAGGGGGUUUCCGCCCCUUAGUGCUGCAGCUAACGCAUUAAGCACUCCGCCUGGGGAGUACGACCGCAAGGUUGAAACUCAAAGGAAUUGACGGGGACCCGCACAAGCGGUGGAGCAUGUGGUUUAAUUCGAAGCAACGCGAAGAACCUUACCAAAUCUUGACAUCCUUUGACAACUCUAGAGAUAGAGCUUUCCCCUUCGGGGGACAAAGUGACAGGUGGUGCAUGGUUGUCGUCAGCUCGUGUCGUGAGAUGUUGGGUUAAGUCCCGCAACGAGCGCAACCCUUAAGCUUAGUUGCCAUCAUUAAGUUGGGCACUCUAAGUUGACUGCCGGUGACAAACCGGAGGAAGGUGGGGAUGACGUCAAAUCAUCAUGCCCCUUAUGAUUUGGGCUACACACGUGCUACAAUGGACAAUACAAAGGGCAGCGAAACCGCGAGGUCAAGCAAAUCCCAUAAAGUUGUUCUCAGUUCGGAUUGUAGUCUGCAACUCGACUACAUGAAGCUGGAAUCGCUAGUAAUCGUAGAUCAGCAUGCUACGGUGAAUACGUUCCCGGGUCU
rnacentral:rRNA from 1 species